rnacentral:rRNA from 1 species
CGCUGGCGGCGUGCUUCAUACAUGCAAGUCGAACGAGAAGCUGACUUCGGUCAGUGGAAAGUGGCGGACGGGUGAGUAAUAUGUAGGAAAUCUGCCCUAGAGAGGGGGACAACAGAGGGAAACUUCUGCUAAUACCCCAUAUGAGCUUAGUUGAAAUACUAAUCUUGAAAACUCCGGUGCUCUAGGAUGAGCCUGCAUCUGAUUAGCUAGUUGGCGGUGUAAUGGACCACCAAGGCGACGAUCAGUAGCUGGUUUGAGAGGAUGAUCAGCCACAAUGGGACUGAGACACGGCCCAUACUCCUACGGGAGGCAGCAGUAGGGAAUUUUGCGCAAUGGGCGAAAGCCCUGACGCAGCAACGCCGCGUGAACGAUUAAGCCCUUCGGGGUGUAAAGUUCUGUCAGUAGGGACGAAACUUGACGGUACCUACAGAGGAAGCACCGGCUAACUCCGUGCCAGCCGCAGC